AUGGUCUCUCGAUUGGGUACUUUGUUAUGUACCGGAUGAUUUGAGGUGAUUUGGAGGUGAGUUUGUGAAAGAGAAGGAGAGGUAGAGAAACAGAGAGAGAUAGGGAGAGAGAUUGGGAGGAAGAAAAUAGGGUUUUAGAAGAAUUUAGAGUAGGGUUUUGGGGAAGGAGAAGAGAAAGGAGUGGAGAAGAAGAGGAUAAUUGGGGAAGAAGACAAGCUAAUUCAUUUCCAUUCCUCAGCCCUAGCUUGCAUUACAUCCUAAUACUUAUACUAGUUAGUUCCGUACAAAAAAGAGAAUUAUUAAAUCUCUGAGGACUAAACAGCAAAAGUGACAAAAUAAGAAGUGGCCUGGUUGGGCCGCCAAUUCGGUGGUAGUUGGGCCCUCUUCCUGGGCUUCCUGAGCUCCUCUGCUGCUUGUCGGGUAUUCGGACUCGGGUCCGUCCUUCUCCGCACUACCCGCAACCCAGCGGGUCUUGGGUUCGCCAUUUCGCCCCGAUCCGAGCCCGCUUUGCUCGAUCCAUGCUUAACGGUAAGUGGGCGUCGGUUCCGGCCUUCUCCGCAUCAUCCACGACCCGGCGGAUAUCGGGUCCGCGUUUUACGCCCGCUCCGGUGAUCCGACCGCCCGAUCCGCCAGCUCUUUUCUUCGCCCCAAACACCCCGGUUCUGUCGGGCUUCCUCCUCCGACCUCGAUCCUCCCAUUUCCCCUUCAUCAUCGAUUAUGCCCUAGAACUGUUGAGCUUGCCUGAGCUCCUUCGAAGGCGCCUUCCCACCGGAGUUCCGCCCGAGCGCCUUCCCGCUGGAUCGCUCCGCCGAGCUCACUCCUCACCAACCUCCUGCUGUCACUUCUCUGCUCUACUUUGUAAAGUUGACAUUUUUACUACUCUCCCAUGCUAACUGCUACUACUACUACUACUUUUACCAUUUAUUCUUCAGGGUCAUUACAAUCCCUUCCCCUUAAGUUCAUCCUUGUCCUCAAGGAUGGAACUUGUUGACUGGUUUGGGGAUCCCAUUUGCUUCCCCUGCGGCACAUUCUUCUUCUUCAAAGUUGCUUCUUUUAAGCCACCUUUGGAAACCUCCUCCGGCUGGCAGCAUGGACGGCGGCCCUGUUGGGGCAAGGGCUCACCCUUGGGCCCUUCAGGAUGUCGCAACUUGCGCGCUGCCGGAUCUCCCCUCGUCAAAAAACUGGGCUGGUUCAGAGAAAUGCAACUAGAGUUUUGGACUACUUCUGUCAGCUCCGCUAUGUUGCUUGUGGAAUAUUGACUCCUAGUGUACAUGUCUUCUCCUAGAGAGACUUUUACUCCUUUUUCUAUCAGCAUGAUAUGUGUUCUCUGCUGUGCUCUAUUUGAUUGCCCUUCAAAAAUGUAUAGUACUUGUCCCCUUCGCUUGAACCAACUCAAAUUUGAGUCCUUCAUAAUAUUUCCAAUAGUAAUCGAGGCAUUAGUUGGAGGGUAAUAGGUAUAUUUACCUUGUAAAAUUCUCUCUCCUGUUGAGAAGCGGCUUUUGGUGUAGGAUCACCACUCUUCAGGUUUCAGCUUCUUGUAACAAUGUGUGGGCCUAUUUUCUCUCUUAGCUCUUAAGCAAACUUCAUAUUCUGGCACUAACUGAUGCACAUCCCUUUCGAUUCCUGACCAUCGAGUGAACUGUUCAAUUCCCUUAUCAACUUGCCACGCCCUGGAAGUAUGAAAUUCAGUUAACAGAUGGUCUUCUUCACUUCGAUUUUGCACAGCUUGCAUCCAUUUGCAUAUAAUCAUGGUAAGCGCUUUGCAUUCCCCUUUUAUGUGCAAGGUAACACCCAAAUUUCUAUCAGAUUCCUGUAGCUUAUCUUGUUCAUAGGUCAGAAAUCGCGAGCAUGGGUGAGGCCUCUUAAGCAUAGUCCCUAGCUCCUUGUAUUCAUUGACAAAGCCCCACACCUGGCAAGCCUCUACCAGAUUAGAAUUUUGGAUUGGCUUUUGGACUGUUAAGUUCUCCGAUCUGGCUUGAUAGUUUUCCACUGUCUUGUUGUGUAUUUGCCUGCAGAAUGCAUCAAUGUCAUCAGUUAGGCACUUGAUGUCAAUCCCCUUCCACUUAUCUGCAACAAACUUCUUCCAAGGGGGUUUGUCCUUGUAGUUAACGAUCUCUUGUUUUUCUAUUUUUGCCUUUCCAGUUUGUAACGGCCCAAUCUUCAUAACAACCCGAUUGUGAUAGCAUCCAAUUUGUAAUGGCCCAAUCUGAGUAGCAUCCAUCGCCAAUUGUAAUUUCGGAGAUUUGGUUGGCUGCGAUGAUGAUUGAGGUGCUACCAAGGGUCGAUCUAGGCCUGAUUUGGUUCCGAGCUGAGUCGCAACCUUCAAUGAUGACUUCGAUCUGAGAACUGGAUGGCGACAAUGAUGAUAGGUUCCACGCCGAAUAGAUCGCUUCCAGAGCUUAUGCUGUUGAUGCUGAUGAUGAAUUUGAUCCAACCAGGGUUGUUGAGGUAGUGGGUUGUUAUCAGGCCAUUGUGGGAAUGCUUCUUCUUCCAUUUCUUGCAGCUUGUGAGUUCCUAGUGGAGUUCCUUCACCCAUGUUUGCUCUGAUAGGUGAUGGAACAAUGUUAUCUCUAAGUUUGCUUCUCUCUGAACUUGAAUGCUCUAUGUUGCGUGUUUCGACAAUUGGAAUUGGCUUGGUCGGAUAUGGUUGAGUUGCAUGCAACCUUAGCAAUCCCUCCGGUUUGCUGGUACUAUCACUCAGCUUUACAUCAUGCCCAUUACUGUCCUCCAUCUGUAGAAUUUCAAGGUGCUUUUGCUCUACUUCCUUCACGGCAGCUGGUUGGUCGAUUACGGAAUUAGUUAGUGAACUAACUCUUUUCUCUAGAGGAAUGGUUAUGGGUAUUAGCUCUUUCUCUUCUUUUGGAACCUGCACUGCUAUCUCUUUUUCUCUAGCAUGCACAAAUCGGCUCCUAAUCAACUCUAGGAGUUGUUCAUGUCUGCGGGCAUUCUCCUGCAUCAUGAUUUCGUGCCUCCUUGCCUCUUCCUUUUGUAGUGCUUCAAUUAAGACAUCUAACUUUUGAUUAACAUCCCGAGCACUUUGUAAUGCUUCUUCAAAGCUUUGAUUAUAGCUAGUGGUUUGUUGCUGCAACUUUGUUCCAUUAACCAUUUUUACUUCAGAUAUGCUUCUCCUUGAAGUGUUUCACUAUGGUACUUGACUGAAUUUCCAAUGGAUUUCUUCUAUUGGCUCCAAUGAACUAUUGAGGUGACUAUGAUGCUCUUUGGGAUCUGAUGACUGUUCCAAUCAAGAGAACACUAACCAGCUGUCUACUCCUUCAAUAUAUUUCCAUUUGUAGCAAUUUAACUAAUUAUAUCUCAACUCUGGAAUUAAAAUUGGGGAACAAAACUUGAUUACUUGGUGCCUGCAAGGUGUUUGAUGAAAUUCCCCUUCACUGGCCCAAUUUUAACUAUGAUACUCUACCAAGAACCUGUUGCUUCUAUGACCCCUCUAUCAAUUUGAUUCAAGUAGCAAUGAUAAAGAUUUCUUGUGAUGUUUAUCAGGUUUGAUCCCUUAUUAACCAAUUCUUGCAUACAUGCAAUCAAUGAUUCAAAAGGAUGCAAAGAUUUCUACAAUACCUGAUGUUAUAGCUUUAUAAAAUCAAAUCGCCUCUCUACUAGUUGCAAUCUGAUACCACCUUGUUAUCGUAGUGGCAAUGUCUCCAGUCGCUACUAUGAUCCUUCCAAUGUAGAUCUGAUGCUACCACUUGAGUUCUUGCUCCAGGUGCUACUCGAGAUCCAUUACUGCUCCAUUCUUGUGAUAUCCCACCAUGAUGCAAGUAUCAGUUUCAUCCCCUCCCUGGGAUCGAAACUGCUCUGAUACCAAUUGUUAUGUACCGGAUGAUUUGAGGUGAUUUGGAGGUGAGUUUGUGAAAGAGAAGGAGAGGUAGAGAAACAGAGAGAGAUAGGGAGAGAGAUUGGGAGGAAGAAAAUAGGGUUUUAGAAGAAUUUAGAGUAGGGUUUUGGGGAAGGAGAAGAGAAAGGAGUGGAGAAGAAGAGGAUAAUUGGGGAAGAAGACAAGCUAAUUCAUUUCCAUUCCUCAGCCCUAGCUUGCAUUACAUCCUAAUACUUAUACUAGUUAGUUCCGUACAAAAAAGAGAAUUAUUAAAUCUCUGAGGACUAAACAGCAAAAGUGACAAAAUAAGAAGUGGCCUGGUUGGGCCGCCAAUUCGGUGGUAGUUGGGCCCUCUUCCUGGGCUUCCUGAGCUCCUCUGCUGCUUGUCGGGUAUUCGGACUCGGGUCCGUCCUUCUCCGCACUACCCGCAACCCAGCGGGUCUUGGGUUCGCCAUUUCGCCCCGAUCCGAGCCCGCUUUGCCCGAUCCAUGCUUAACGGUAAGUGGGCGUCGGUUCCGGCCUUCUCCGCAUCAUCCACGACCCGGCGGAUAUCGGGUCUGCAUUUUACGCCCGCUCCGGUGAUCCGACCGCCCGAUCCGCCAGCUCUUUUCUUC
rnacentral:lncRNA from 1 species